GAAUUAUCCCCAGCCUUAAGCUUCUAACUUAAGAACAAAUGCAUAAAUACAUUUAUAAUUCU
rnacentral:tRNA from 1 species